GUGAUAUUAAAGGUGGGGUAACUUACUUUGUACAUUAAUUUUAGGGGGGCAGUCACAUUGUACAUGCUUCUCC